GUGGCGGACGGGUGAGUAACGCGUGAGCAACCUGCCUUUCAGAGGGGGAUAACAUUUGGAAACAGAUGCUAAUACCGCAUAAGAUUACAGUACCGCAUGAUACAGUGAUCAAAGGAGCAAUCCGCUGAAAGAUGGGCUCGCGUCCGAUUAGAUAGUUGGUGAGGUAACGGCUCACCAAGUCGACGAUCGGUAGCCGGACUGAGAGGUUGAACGGCCACAUUGGGACUGAGACACGGCCCAGACUCCUACGGGAGGCAGCAGUGGGGAAUAUUGCACAAUGGGCGAAAGCCUGAUGCAGCAACGCCGCGUGAGGGAAGACGGUUUUCGGAUUGUAAACCUCUGUUUUCGGUGACGAAUAAAUGACGGUAACCGAGUAGGAAGCCACGGCUAACUACGUGCCAGCAGCCGCGGUAAUACGUAGGUGGCAAGCGUUAUCCGGAAUUACUGGGUGUAAAGGGAGCGCAGGCGGGAUAGCAAGUCAGCUGUGAAACUAUGGGCUCAACCCAUAAACUGCAGUUGAAACUGUUAUUCUUGAGUGGAGUAGAGGCAAGCGGAAUUCCGAGUGUAGCGGUGAAAUG
rnacentral:rRNA from 1 species